UUCGUGAUGUAUAAAGUAAACAAUAUUUGGAAAUAGUGUAUCUUUCUUGAAAAGAGGGACGAAUCAUUCAUACAUAAUAUAUUUUUAGAUGGCAUGCAUUCUAUGUACGAGGCAAAACAGGGCCAUCUAUCUUUGCUAUUUUUUAAUCUCCACAGCCUACUUUUUCUACAACAUCUAUCAUUCAUUUUUCCUUGUUGUAAUACUAAAAGAUUGGCUUCAGUAUUUCUUAAAACAAGAUCUCCCAUUUGGAACUGCUUAUUCUUUACUCUGGAGUUAUAGUAUUGUGUAACUUGUUGAGCUUUUGCAGCAUUUCUGACCUCUGUUGUCUCCUUAACUUCAUUGAUGAGAUCUAAGUUGAGUUGAAUGAUCUUCCACUUGUGCUGAUUGAUUAUUUGGUUGACGGUGUAUAGGAUUCCUGAAAAAAAUGUUAGACGAGUUAAUUAAUAAAUUGAAAGUUACAACUAUAACCUACAAAUUUCCUAAUUAUUCUUUUACGUGCAAAAAUUAAAAUUAACCUAGUGGCGUUGCCUCUUCGCAAUGGUGCCAACAAUUUGACUGCCUUUGGACGUAUUGUGUGAAUACUGCAUUAAAAUAUAUAAUUACGAGGUGGGUGAGUGCUCCGAGGAUCGUACCCAAGGGAGGCUAAGAUUGGAUCAAUUUUAACUUACACAUUAAAAUAUCUAAUUAAUACUUUAAUUAAGUUAUAGCACAAAAAUGUAAAUAAGAGAUUUGCGUGGAUUUUUAUAGUACUAAUAAUAAAACAAAAUAACAAUAAAUAAAGCUAAAUUUCAAGAGAUAGAAAAAGUAGAAGGAAUAAAAAAUGAUGAUGGGUGAUUAACUUGCUUAGACAAUCCUGAUCAACUAUCGUUUCGGGUUCCUCGUCAACCAACUAGUCACUAUCCUAGCAGGAUCUUCUAAUCUUUCAUUAACAUAACUAGUCAGCAAGGACUACUUAUCUUCUGACCUUAUAGUCCAGAUUGGCUUGGGGUGAAGGUGUUCAGGAAUGGACAAGACCAAUUUUGGGUUAAUUCCCACCUUGAUGACUUCUCGGGGUUGUUAGACUUAGGGUUUGUUUCACGUUCUUCCUUUCCCAAAUAGCUGAUCCGUUGAGUAACCUUACAAAACAAUUAAUAGAUCAUGCCUCCACUCGCUAAUUCCCCAUAGAAGGAUUAGUUCCUCAUAGUUUUCAUAAACAAUUUGGAAUAGAUGGAAGAAUAAAACAUGAUGAAUAGAUUGAAGUGUAGAGUUUAAGAAAAGCCUGAUUUGUAUAAAUAAUAACACGAAUCCAUAGAAGUUGAUCGUCUUUACAAAUUAGAUCUCUUAAAGGAACGCAACGAACAAAUAAACUAAACUCUGAAAAACCUAAGAAAGAAAUAAAACGAAACUAAAUCUAAAGAGGGAAUUUAGGUUAAUGGAAUGGUGUCCAUAACAUGUACCUAAACCACUAGUAUGUUUGCAUUAUUCAUGGGAGUAACGCAAAACUGCUCCCAUUGAUGAUAACGGACCAAAAUCCAGAUUUCUUUGUAGUGAAUCUUCGAAGGUUCAUGUAGCACCCCAAACCCGGCCCAGAAGUUAUGGUCGGAUCCGGCAUGCCACAUCAAAAACGUAAAAAAAAAAAAUUUCCAUUCUAAGUCCAGAAAAUCGUACUUGAUGUUCAAAAGAUUAAUUCAUUAAAGGUUAAAGUGAAUGGAAGCUGUGCACCAGGUAGGAAACCGGAAAAUAGGUGGUGAGUCCAUCGGACUGCUUAAGUACCAAGCUCCCUUCGGAUCCAAUCCUAGACAUGCAUACCGCCAUUGCCACACUUUAACGUCAUGGAUAUUUCUAGGAAACCGAUUUGAUUAAGUCAUUUUUAGGAAAAGUGAUUAAUUUUGGAAAUACUUUCAUUGCGGAAGCUUUGCUUGUUGUCGUGUUAUUUUGAAAUCAACUGUUGUUUUUGAAAACGCGCCCUAAAGCUAUCCAAUUUCAACAGUUAAAAUAAGUAUUACCUAUCUUAGUAAUAUAAAAAAACCAUCAAAAAUAAAUAAGCAGCCUUAUUACAUUUAAAAACCCAAAACUUCAAACGUAAAUAAAAGGAUGUCCAGUUCACCAGAAGAAAAUCAAACUUUCAGAACAGGUGGCCACUCCGAAUUCCCUCACAGCUCCAAGCCCACUAUGGUUGGGGAUUACCUGCGUGGAUGAAAAUAAAAGGGGUGAGUUUGGGGAAACUCAGUGUGUAAAUUAACCCAACCAUAGCCUAUAUCAGCUUAAACCACAGAAAUAGAAUAAGUUGGCCUUAGCCCAGAACAGAAUUCAAAAUAAAACCCAUAGGCCCAUAACAGAACAGAACAAAUAUUACAUGUUUAUGCAGAAACCCAACCAUAUCCAACCGUAUACACCCCCGUACCAACCUUACACCGUGUGGGGAGACAACUCGACCCACCCAACCGCUACACACCACAGAAUUUGCAGCAUGGCUGCCAGAACAGAUAAUGUGACAGAGUCACCAGAUACAGAUAAUCGUGGCAGAGCCACCAGAACAGAUAUAUGUGGCAGAGCCACCAGAUCAGAUAUUUGUGGCAUAGCCACCAGAACGCUUCCUCCAUAAUAUAACCCAUGUCCCCAUGCAACAGAUAUAUAAUCAUGGCAUACAUCAUACAGAAUCAGAUCGUCAUGCUUUUCAGUCAAAAUUAACCCUAGGGGUAUAACGGUAAUUUUGCACCUAGGAGUAUAACAGUAAUUUUCCAUACAUAGGGGUAUUAUAGUAAUUUAGCUACUUUUAGGGUUUUCAUGCAUAUCCUAACUAUUUACGUACUAUCAGAACACUUACCGCACAUACUUACUGAAUUGGGCCCGUUGGCCCAUGAACCCGAUCUUUGGCCCAUUAAGCCCAAAUUAUCAAAAUGUACGAAAUCGCGCGUACUGCAGUUUAUUACUUUAGAUUACCAAAUAUACAAACCCAACUAUCUUACGAGCAUUCGCACACUCGCAAAUUCCCAAAAUACUGACUUUUCGGCAUUUCGGCUUUUCGGCUUUUGUCAAUCUAGUCUAUGAGAGGGUGUCAGUUACACACCUGUUUGCGACGAUAUGCUGACGAGAUCCACACACGAACCGCCUACAAUUGGAUUACUAACACGUUAAUCUAACUAUUCAAAUACAAACUACGUAUUAACCCCUUACAAUAUUCGGCCAACCACACCUACAGAUCAUAGUAAGCUUAUAAGAAAUCAAUAAGCAACUCAUUAACAAAUUUUUGUCAAUGUUUACCACAUAAUCAUAAUUUCACUGCAAGCUGUCUUCCUGAGCAACAGUCACUAAAUUAUUUAUAAAUGGAGCUACGAAACUCCAAAUCAAGUUCCGUUAAUUUUCCUUGAAAAUAGACUCAUAUAUAUUCUAUCCAUAAAAGUUUUAGAAUUUUUGGUUUAGCCAAUCAAUACCAGAUUUUUCUCAAAGUUUCUCAUGUUUCACUGUUUGACUAAUCUGACCACUCUUCAUUACGAAUCAAAUUUCUCAUUGUACAGAAUUCAAAAUAUGUUCUUGUUUAUUUCAUUAGAAACUAGACUCAAUAAGCUUUAAUUACAUAAUUUAUGCAGCUUCUAACUCAUCUCCCACAAUUUAUGGUGAUUUUCCAAAGUCACGUUACUGCUGCUGUCCCAAGCAGAUUUAUUACCAAAUCACUCUUUCACACCUAACUUGCAUGCUUGUUAUUUAAACAUGUAUAUCACCAAUCAAUCAUCACAUAUCUAUGAUUUUACUUAAGUAUAAUCUCCAUUUCAUCAUUUUAAAGCACAACAUGUUAGCCGAUUUUUCCCUUUAGCAUCUAAGGCACAUGCAUGCUCAUUUGUUUGGCUCAACUUCACCUAUCUUCCAUUUUUCAUCAAAAGAACAUGAAACAACAACCAUUUCCUUCAUUUUAAUUCAUGACUAAAUGCUCACAACACAACUAAAAAUCAAAAUAUACUUUAAGAGUUAAGGUAGAAUCAAGAAGAACUCAUGAACCUCAAAACAGAAGUAAGGUACCAAGAACUUACCUUCAAUUUUCCUCCUCCUAAUGACCGAAUACUCAAGAGUUUUCUCCUCUCCUUUCUCUUCUCUAACUUUCAGCUAUGAUGAACAAAGAUGGACAAAACUUUGUUCUUUUCACCCCUUUUUCUUUUAAUAAAAU
rnacentral:lncRNA from 1 species